GGGGGGCUAGCUCAGCUGGCCAGAGCACUCGCCUUACAAGCGAGGGGGUAGAGGUUCAAGUCCUCUGCCGCCCC
rnacentral:tRNA from 1 species